GACGAACGCUGGCGGCGUGCUUAACACAUGCAAGUCGAACGGAAAAGCCCUGCUUUUGUGGGGUGCUCGAGUGGCGAACGGGUGAGUAACACGUGAGUAACCUGCCCUUGACUUUGGGAUAACUUCAGGAAACUGGGGCUAAUACCGGAUAGGAGCUCCUGCUGCAUGGUGGGGGUUGGAAAGUUUCGGCGGUUGGGGAUGGACUCGCGGCUUAUCAGCUUGUUGGUGGGGUAGUGGCUUACCAAGGCUUUGACGGGUAGCCGGCCUGAGAGGGUGACCGGCCACAUUGGGACUGAGAUACGGCCCAGACUCCUACGGGAGGCGGCAGUGGGGAAUAUUGCACAAUGGGCGGAAGCCUGAUGCAGCAACGCCGCGUGCGGGAUGACGGCCUUCGGGUUGUAAACCGCUUUCGCCUGUGACGAAGCGUGAGUGACGGUAAUGGGUAAAGAAGCACCGGCUAACUACGUG
rnacentral:rRNA from 1 species